rnacentral:rRNA from 1 species
CAGCAGCCGCGGGAAAACGUAGGGGGCAAGCGUUAUCCGGAAUAACUGGGCGUAAAGGGUGCGCAGGUGGUUUAACAAGUUAGUGGUGAAAGGCAUAGGCUCAACCAAUGUAAGCCAUUAAAACUGUUUAACUUGAGUGCAGGAGAGGAAAGUGGAAUUCCUAGUGUAGCGGUGAAAUGCGUAGAUAUUAGGAAGAACACCAGUGGCGAAGGCGACUUUCUGGACGAAAACUGACGCUGAGGCGCGAAAGCCAGGGGAGCGAACGGGAUUAGAGACCCGUGUAGUCCCUGUCUCUUAUACA